rnacentral:tRNA from 1 species
GGUAGCGUAGCCGAGCGGUCCAAGGCGCUGGUUUAAGGCACCAGUCUCUUCGGGGGCAUGGGUUCGAAUCCCAUCGCUGCCA